CAGACGCUAACGUGCACAGGAAGAAACACGAGCACGACACGUACGUCUUGGGCACCAUCCAUCCAUUCAGGAAGACUCACAGAUCCGUUUUUGGGAAACUCCUGCAAGAAUUCAGACUGGUUGCCUCAGAUAGACGGUCAUGGAGGAUCCUGCUGUUCGGAUCACUCAACCUGCUCUGUACCGGCUGUCUGCUGAUGUGGUGCAGCUCCACCAACAGCAUGGGUG